AUAUAUAUAUAUGUACAUAUAUUUGUAAUUCAUUUAAUUUUUUUUUGAGAAAUAGUAUGACAACAAUAGUUUGAAAGUAUUAAUAAUAUAAGUAGCAGUUAGUAUGAUUGACUUAUUUGGCUAACUGACAAAUGAUUUUGGGUUUUUUUUCUGUUUCUUUUUGGAAGAAAGGUUACGUGAUAUAAUAAAGGUAAAUACAUAAAGUUUAAUUUUUUAUUAGCCACCAUAUUAUGCAAGUUAUCAGCUCUACCUCAAAAAGCUCAUUUUCCUUCCACGUAGAAUGAGAUCAUCCAAAAAUAACAAAAUCAAUAUCUUAAAAAAAUGGGUGAAAUAGAAAUAUAUGUAUAUAUUUAAUGAUGAAAAUCGUGUGUAUAAUGUGCAUGUUAAAAAAAGAAACCGAAAAUUAAGAUGGUAACCCUGACAAUAUCAGAAUGUUUUGGAGGAGAUCAACUACAAUCAGCUGUGAUGAGGGAAGAGGUGAGAAGGAAAUAAACCAGGACAUUGGAAAGGAUUAACCCUAUGCAAGGUUGUGCCUGGUUCAGAUUCAGUGGUUCUAUCGGUCUCGGUUCUUUCCUUUCAACACUUUCGGUCUUGGUUCCGGCCUUCAGUUUCGGUUCUUUUUUUAUACAGGCUCACUUUGGUAAAAUACACUUAAAACAAGGGGCAACGCUAGAAAAUUCGUGGCCAAGAAAUGAUAUUAGAUACAAACAGGGCCGUAACUACCUUAUACACAGAGUGUGUUGUUCCCAAAGUUCCAGCAGGUACCCCAAAAACUCGUAUAAAGGGCCACAGUUUAAAAUGUAUAAGUGGGGGUGGGGGGAGCGGGCCUUAGUGAAGUUUGUGAAACCCCGGCUUAAGAAAUAUCAUAGUUAUCAUAUUAUAUGGCCCUGACAAGCUUAGUAGCGGUACUGGAUUCAUAAUCUAUCACACCCCUUUCUUUUUCUAUUUACACUGUCUGCUGCCAAAAACCACUUUUCUAUAUCCAUAUGAAGCCCUUAGCUAUUUAGAACUCAGAUACAGCUGUAGCACCCUGAUGACAUAAAAAAAUCAUUGGAAAACGCUGCAAUUGCACACAAAAAAGAACAAAAGCACAAGAAGCGAGACAGAUAAGCAAUAUAUAGCGAUCUCGGUUCGAAUUUCUCGGUUUAAAUUCUAGCAGUUCAAGAACCGGAACCGCUUGGACCGCAAGACCACUAAUGGCACAACCUUGCUCCUAUGUCGACCCUAAAUUAUACUCUAAGUCGAACAAGGACUUACAAAUUAUAACUCCGUAACCAAUCCUAAAGGUUACUCUCCUCCAUUUAUGAGCACACAUGAACGCGCAAUCAGGUUUUGAAUGUAAUAUUAUCUAGUAGGAAAGGAAGUUAAUAACUCAGAAUUAAAUAAUCAUGACAACUUCUAAAGAAAAUAAAAUAGACUCUCAGAUUUCCUAUUCAAAAAAGUGGGCAAACUAAAAAAUGCACACGAUAUAUAUUUAUACGAGUAUAUAAGAUAAUGGAUAAAGCCACAAUGUUUGAAAUGAAUAAAAAAAAUAUUUUGUAUUAUAAUUGUUGCAAAAAAACAUAUUUAAUUUCAAAAUAGAAGAAAAAUUGUUUGUUGACGCCUCUAAGUCAAUCCAACUCGGAGUAAUGGUGCUAAAAAAAGUGCCUCGUAAACAAUUAUUUUGUAGAGAAAAAUGCAAAGUAUUAUUUGUACGAGUUAUAGAGAUGGGAGCAUCGCUGGAUAAAGUGUGUAGAAUUACAAGAAGACUAUGUUGAAAAACUGUCUUGUAUCUUUGUUAGGUUGGAAACUUUCAGACCACCCUAGUAUGUAUGCUACAUUUUAUGUUUCGUUAAUAUAUUUUAUAAUAAAUGAAAUAUAUCUCAUCUGUUUUUA
rnacentral:lncRNA from 1 species